CUGAAGCCGCAGCUCUCUGCCCGCCUCCCUGGGUGAGCUGUUGGCUACCUUACAGGCAGUUUGGAUCGGGAGUUUGCUUGUUUUCUUUAUGCUGGAAAACAGCAUGCCAAGAAUUUUCACACUUCUCAUUACUAGGGGAAAGAAUGGGAGAGAUGCCACAAUACAGCCUCUGACUGUUGGGAUUGAAGCAAGUUUCCUACCGUCUGAGCUCACUGAUAUCCCAGUCAGGAGGUACUUUGACCACAGAGAGCAUCCAGCCCAUGAGGGCCCCUUCCCCCUUCUCCCACCUCCAGCGUCCCCAGAGGAGAUUGCACAACCUGUUGGCCCACACAGACGAACAAGCAGGGUGAGCCCGGCCAACCACAUUUCUGAAGUCAGGAGCCCUGGACUUCAAGGUGUACCGUCUGGUGACUCUGUCUUCCUACAGAAGCCCCAGGACUUGAUGGGGUGUGUUUAAACUCUCCCCAUCCCUGACGCCUCCCCUCUUCCCACCUCAAACUCAAGGCGGUUGCUCCCAGCUUUCUGAGCACCUGGCCUGCCUGCCCGAGCACACCUGAAGACCCUGGUCCUGGCAGCCCUGUCCAUUGCUAGCUGCUAGGGCGGCCACUGCCCACAGUUCCUUGCUGCCUGGGUUUGUAGGGCUGGUGGCUAAGCCACUGGAGGGAGGGUCUGUUUUCCUCUCUGCGUCCACCUGGGCCUAGUUCUGCAGGUAGGACUGGCUAGUCCAGAGGAGAGAUUUAUGGUGUAAUGAAAAAGUUGAAGCCUGAUUCUGCACCUCUGUCCUGGUCAUGUUUGACGGGCAGGACUCUAGAUAUGCCCCCACCCCUGCCAAGCCAAGAUUCCUGUUCCCUGAUUUUCAAUCAUAUGCUGAACUGGGUCCUAAUGUGAGGGGAUUUUGAAGAGAUAACUCAAGUCCCUGGGUAAUCCCCCAGGUGGCCUGGCCUGAAUAAGGGAACCCUUUAUAGAGUUUUCUCUGGCUGGAAGCAGAGAGGGGGGACUCCGUGAGAUUUGUUGAGUCGAGGGAGGGGGCUCUGUAUGAAGGCGGCAAGAGGUGGUGACAGGGGAGAUCACCUGGGGCCUACAGUCAGUGAGAGGACCCUAGUUUUGACAUGCAGGUGGCCUGGGAGCCACUAGAGGGCUGAACUGAGGCCUGGAGAGAGCUGAUUUAAAAGAGGGGGCAAGGAAUACAGCCCAGCAGAGAGGCUGCAGUGUCAUCUGAUGGGGGACAACAGGCGGAGGAGGUACCUGCAGAGCUGAGAAUUUACAUAGGGAUGGGCUGUGAGAGGAAGGGUCAAGGAAGAUUCUGGGCUUCUGGGCUAAAGGCCAGACUUGCUUUUCACUGUAGGGAGCAAGUUUAGGGGAGGCCAUGGGCACCAGCCAGCCAUUACACCGACCCUGGGGGGUCCUGGAGCUGGGGCGGUGUCCGCUGAGAGAGGAAGGAGGCCAUGGUCAGCAUCAAGAUGGUGUUUAAGAGCCGGGCACGGUGACCAUGCCUGGAAUCCCAGGACUCCUGAGGCUGAAGCAGGAGGAUGGCAAGUUUAAGGCCACUCUGGGAAACUUAGCUGGACCCUGUCUCAAGAAAAGAAAAGGAAAAGAAAAAAGAAAAAGAAAGAGGGCUGGGGAUCUAGCUCGUGCCUAGUGUGCAUGCGGCCCUGGGUUCCAUCCCCAUUACCACAAAAGGAAAGAUGGUGUUGAAGAAGGCAGGAGGCUGAAGAGAGGUCCUAGCGACUGUGUGGAUGGGGAGAGGCUCAGGCACCCCAGUGACCAGAAGGGACAUCAGUGUGCCAGAAAGAAACCUUCAAACAUGACUUUUAUUAUUACUGUAAUUAUCAUAAAACCUAUGUAACGUUGACAUUA